rnacentral:rRNA from 1 species
CAGCAGCCGCGGUAAUACGAAGGGUGCAAGCGUUAAUCGGAAUUACUGGGCGUAAAGCGUGCGUAGGCGGUUUGUUAAGUCUGCUGUGAAAUCCCCGGGCUCAACCUGGGAAUGGCAGUGGAUACUGGCAAGCUAGAGUGUGUCAGAGGAUGGUGGAAUUCCCGGUGUAGCGGUGAAAUGCGUAGAGAUCGGGAGGAACAUCAGUGGCGAAGGCGGCCAUCUGGGACAACACUGACGCUGAGGCACGAAAGCGUGGGGAGCAAACAGGAUUAGAUACCCGGGUAGUCCCUGUCUCUUAUAC